CAGCAGCCACGGUAACACGUAGGGUGCGAGCGUUAAUCGGAAUUACUGGGCGUAAAGCGUGCGCAGGCGGUUGUGUAAGACAGGUGUGAAAUCCCCGGGCUUAACCUGGGAACUGCGCUUGUGACUGCACAGCUAGAGUAUGGCAGAGGGGGGUGGAAUUCCACGUGUAGCAGUGAAAUGCGUAGAGAUGUGGAGGAACACCGAUGGCGAAGGCAGCCCCCUGGGCCAAUACUGACGCUCAUGCACGAAAGCGUGGGGAGCAAACAGGAUUAGAUACCCCCGUAGUCCCUGUCUCUUAUAC
rnacentral:rRNA from 1 species